GGAGGCGGGACAAAGGGAGCGCGCGUUCGGCCGGCGCGCGUCCCCGCCUUCCGUCUGGGCUGGGGCUCCAUGUAAUGGCGGAGCACGAGGAGACUUAGCAACGUUUCAGAACUGAAGGGUUACCCUGUGUUCCCGUGUCUGAAGUUCUUCCUGCUGCUACAACCAAGCUACAACUAAGGAGUAACACCCUUCACAGGUUCUCUAGCUUCAACACCUUUCCAGGAACAAGAACUCAUUUUCUGGAUACUAAAGACAAUGGCUCAGUGACUGAUGUGAUCCAAGGCAUUUCUUAAGAGUUCUGUAAGAGAAAAUACAUAGAACACCCCAGCAAGUCCCAUUAUAGCCCUCCAUAUAAAAUACUAAUAUUGUAAAAUCACACAUUUCCACAUAUUGAAAUGAAGCAGCUUGCUCUUGGUCUCUAAUACAAGAGUAUAUAAAACACAAGAAAUUAUGGGCACCUGGGUGGCUCAGUCUUUAAGUGUCUGCCUUUGGCUCAGGUCAUGAUCCCAGGGCCCUGGGACAGAGCCCCACAUCUGACUCCCUGCUCAGCGGGAAGCCUGCUUCUCCCUCUGCCUGCCGCUCCCCCUGCUUAUGUGCUCUCUCUCUCCGACAAACAAAAAAAUAAAAUCUUUUUAAAAAACUGCACGCACAAGAAAUUAUAAUAAUAUAAGAAGUAUGUGGUAGAGUAGAAAGUGAAAGAUUUUGAAAUCAGACGUCCCUUGGUUUGAAUUCAACUUUGCUACUUUACCAGCUGUGUGAUCAUAGACAAGUUAUUUUACCUAAGGGACAUUUCCUCCAACUAACACUCUCUCUGUGCGUCUCUGUCUCUCACUGUCUAUCUUGUCUCUCUCUCUCAUCUAGCACAUACUCAACAUAUAAGGUUCUCAAUUGUUAGUUAUUAUUAUAAUGCCCAAUAUACAAAAAGAUAUGAGCCAAUGAUAUAAAUGAUAAAAAUGUUGAGAGAGACUGCUUUUUCACUUACUAAAAUCAAGUCUUCUACAAACUGAGGGUUUUGGCUCUCCGUUCAUGUUUAUUGAGUAGGAGUUUGUGAACAGUGUAUCUCAGCAUAAGUGUUGGCAAACCUAUGCCAAAGAAGCCUAAAUCAAAACAGAUAAAAUCAGUGUGUUCUUGCAGUGAAAAUCAAAUAAAAUAUUUGCCGCAUCAAGUCUUAAUAAUAAAAGCUAACAUUUCUAGAGUGUUUAGUUUGUGCCAGGAACCAUUUAAGUACUUUUGUUUAGUUUGUGCCAGGAACCAUUUAAGUACUUUGUAUAUUUUGAGUCAAUUAAUCCUCAUAAUAAUUCUAUUCAUUAGGUAUUAUUUUUAUUCUCAUGUUACGGAUGAGGGAACUGAGGCACAGAAUGUUUGAGUAACUUACCCAGGGUCACAUAGCUCAUAAGAGGAGAGCGGGACUCCUCCCUGGCAGACUCCAUGCUCUUAACCCAUUUACUAUUCUGCCUCUCUGAGGGGAAUGGGAUGUGGAAGAGUCACAGACCUAUUAAAACACUUAUUAGAGGGGCACCUGGGUGGCUCAGUUGGUUAAGCAACUGCCUUCAGCUCAGGUCAUGAUCCUGGAGUCCCAGGAUCGAGUCCUGCAUCGGACUCCCUGCUCAGUGGGGAGUCUGCUUCUCCCUCUGAUCCUCCCCCUCUCAUGCUCUCUGUCUCCCAUUCUCUCUCUCAGAUAAAUAAAUAAAAAAUCUUUAAAAAAAGAAUAAAACACUUAUUAGAGAGAACGAGCAUAUGUUCGUUCUUUUCUCUAUUCAACUCCUCAAAAAGAAAGCCCUGAGAAGACAGCCUGAGAAAAUGAAAAUAUGGUGCUUAUCCUUCAUCACUAUACCCAACAGUUAAAGUGACUUAGACAAAUAAAUAAUAAAAACAACAAAUUCCAAUCAGCUGUCAUUUUUUUCUUUUUACCCCAAUAAUUUAUAUAAGUGUCACUUCUCUGGAAAUUAAGAAUACACUUAAAGCAACUUUGGGUUUCCACUUUAUAAUGAUUUUUUAUUGAGAUCAACAGAAAUUCAUGUUAGUUUGAGGGUUUGAGAAAAGGGAUUGUUGAAAUCUUUUGGCCAUGCUUCCCUUAAAAUGUAAUAGCCAAGGGCGCCUGGGUGGCUCAGAUGGUUGGGCGUCUGCCUUCGGCUCAGGUCAUGAUCUCAGGGUCCUGGGAUCGAGUCCCGCAUCAGGCUCCCUGCUCCUUGGGAGCCUGCUUCUCCCCCUGCCUCUCUCUCUGUCUCUCUCUGUCUCUCGUGAAUAAAUAAAUAAAAUCUUUAAAAAAUAAUAAAAUAAAAUAAAUAAAAAUAAAAUGUAAUAGCCAAGAUGAAUAAGUCACGGGGAUAAAAGGUGCAGCAUAGAGAACGCAGCCAAGGGUAUUGUAAUGGCAUUGUAUGGUGACAGACGGUAGCUACGCUUGUGGUGAGCACAGCAUAACAUACAGACGCGUGGAAUCACCACGUUAUAUACCUGAAACUAAUGUAACAUUGUGUGUCAACUAUACUUCAAUAAAAAGUUUUAAAAUGUAUAGCCAAGAGAGACGGGGAGAAAGUACUUGCUGAACAUAUAUCCAACAAGGGACUUGUCUCUAGACUAUGUAAAGAACGCUUACAAUUCAGUAAAAGUUGAUGACAAACAACUCAAUUAAAAAAUAGGCAGGGCGCCUGGGUGGCUCAGUUGGUUAAGCAACUACCUUCGGCUCAGGUCAUGAUCCCAGGGUCCUGGGAUCGAGUCCCACAUCGGGCUCCCGGCUCAGCAGGAAGCCUGCUUCUCCCUCUCCCACUCCCCCUGCUUGUGUUCCUGCUCUCGCUGUCUCUGUCUCUGUCAAAUAAAUAAAUAAAAUCUUUAAAAAAAAAAAAUAGGCAAAAGAUCUGAACAAACAAUCCACCAAAAAGGUAUAUGGAUGGCAAGUAAGUACAUGAAAAAUGCACUAACAUCAUCAGUAGUCUUUAGGAAAGUGUAAAUCAAAAACCACAAAAAAAUACUACUGCAUACUAAAACUAGUAUGGUUAAAACUAAAAAGACUGAUCAUAAGCAUCGUUGAACAAAUGGAACACUUUUACACUACCGGUAGAGUGUAAAAUAAUCUGGUAAAUACUUCAGCAGUGUUUUUAAAAGUUAAACACAUACCUACCAUGCAACCCAACCAUUCCACUCUUAGGUAUUUACCCAAGAGAAAGAAAAGCAUACAUCCAUUCAAAGACACAAAUGUCCAUAGCAGCUUUAUUUGUGAUAGCCCCAAACUGGAAACAACCCAAAUGCCAAUCAAAAAGUGAAUGAAGAAACAAAUUGUGAUAUAUCCGUACAGUAGAAUACUCUUCAUCAACAAAAAAGAAUGAAAUAUUGAGGGCACCUGGGUGGCUCAAUUGGUUAAGCGUCUGCCUUUGGCUCAGGUCAUGAUCCCAGAGUCCCAGGAUCAAGUCCCAAAUCGGGCUCCCUGCUCAGCGGGGAAACUGCUUCUCCCUCUGCCCCUCCUGCAGCUCAUUCUCUCUCUCUCUCUCAAAAAAAAAUUGAUAUCCACAAAACAUGCAAAGGAAUCUACACCAAAAAAAUACAUACUAUAUUAUUCCACUUACAUAAAAUCUAGAAAAUG